GCCGGAGUGGUGAAAUUGGUAGACACGUCGGAUUCAAAAUCCGAUGCCGUAAAAGGCGUGCCGGUUCAAGUCCGGCCUCCGGUA
rnacentral:tRNA from 1 species